CGUGUUUUCCUUUCCUGGUGGAUACUUUCUUCUUCCAUCAUCUCUCAGUUUUCACGUCGAUCAGAUCUCAUCACCCCCAAGCUCCUAAAACUCGAUUCACCCAUGACGCUCGGCUCAGGAGGAUCGAGUUGUGUGACGUCGAUCAGAUCUCAUCACCCACAAACUCCUAAAACUCGAUUCACCCAUGACGCUCGGCUCAGGAGGAUCGAGUUGUGUCGGUUUGUCCUUGAUCUCUACCCCUUCAUGAUUACCUGUUUUCCCCUCUUUAUCGAUCUCUUUCUUUGUACUGUUCUGCUGGUUUUCGCUUCUGUUUGUUAAUCGGUUCGAUCUAUUACGCUUGCUUACUGCUUUCCUCGGGUGGGUAUUUCUCUAUUCGGUUCUUUCGAUUGCUUCAUCGGUUGAUUUUGGGGAUUAUUG
rnacentral:lncRNA from 1 species